rnacentral:rRNA from 1 species
UACACAUGCAGUCGAGCGAGAAAGUCCCUUCGGGGGCGAGUAGAGCGGCGGACGGGUGAGUAAGACGUGGAUAAUCUCCCCUCGAGCUUGGGAUAACCCCGCGAAAGUGGGGCUAAUACCGGAUAAGACCACGUAGCAUAUGCUACGGGGUAAAAGGUGGCUUGUAUUUAUAUGAGCUAUCACUUGAGGAUGAGUCCAUGGCCUAUCAGCUUGUUGGUGAGGUAAGGGCUUACCAAGGCUAUGACGGGUAGCUGGUCUGAGAGGACGACCAGCCACACUGGGACUGAGACACGGCCCAGACUCCUACGGGAGGCAGCAGUGGGGAAUAUUGGGCAAUGGGCGCAAGCCUGACCCAGCGACGCCGCGUGGGUGAUGAAGGCCUUCGGGUUGUAAAGCCCUUUCGUGCGGAAAGAACAGUCCCGUGGUGAAUAUCCGCGGGAUUUGACGGUACCGCAGGAAGAAGCACCGGCUAACUCCGUGCCAGCAGCCGCGGUAAUACGGAGGGUGCAAGCGUUGUUCGGAAUUAUUGGGCGUAAAGGGCGCGUAGGCGGUUGUGAUAGUCAGAUGUGAAAUCCUUCGGCUCAACCGGAGAACUGCAUCUGAAACUUCACAACUCGAGUACAGGAGAGGGAAACGGAAUUCCCGGUGUAGAGGUGAAAUUCGUAGAUAUCGGGAGGAACACCAGUGGCGAAAGCGGUUUCCUGGCCUGAUACUGACGCUGAAGCGCGAAAGCGUGGGGAGCAA